rnacentral:lncRNA from 1 species
GUGGUUACCCGUCGCUGUAAAUAGGCAGAUAAUUAUCCAAACAAAAAAAAAUGCAGGAAAUAUUCUGGAUCCCCGAGCAGUCUGCUCAACUGGUACGAGGAAAAGUCAAGAAAAGCUCCUUUGAGAAGCUGCCAUAUUUAGUCUCAGCUCAUUGGCCACUCUUUCAAGGACCUUCAUCCUUGAAGCAUAAUUCAUUUAUCUUGCCAAAAUCAUCCCCUCCUCUCUAGGCCAGCAUGAGCUCUGUGUAUUCCUCUCUUAAGAUGCUCCUUUACCCAAUUUUCUUCCCUCCUUGCCUUUCAUAGCCAAUCUUCCCUAAAAUAUAAGGCCCAAACACUACGAACUUUUUUCAGGAGGCUCUCCCAGAUUCCACCCCAUGCUGACUCUUCCUUUCACUAGAUUCCUGUGGACACUGUUUCUCAUGGCUUUAUUGGGACUUUUCACCCAGUUGGGAGUCCCAGGAGGAUAGGGUGCUUCUCCCAUGGCAUGGCUGAGCACAGAACUUGUUCACAGCAGAUAUUUAUUCAAGUAUGAGGCUGCUAGUUUCUCAAGCACAUUGAUUCUGCCACUGCUCUGAGCAACUAGACCUCUCUCCAGGAAUCAGCAAUCAGUUGCCUUGAAGAGACACACCAGAGAGUCUCAUUUCAAAAAUUCACUGAAUUUGCCACCAAAUUUGUCCCUGAAGUGACUAUAAUGAUUAAUUGUGUGUUAAUUUGGCUGGGUGAUGGUGCCUAGAUAUGUGGUCAUACUUAAUUCUGGAUGUUUCUGCGAGGGUGUUUUUGGAUGAGAUGAACAUUUGGAUCGGCAGACUUUGAGCAAAGCAGAUUGCUCUUCAUAAUGUGAGUGGGCCUUAUCCAAUCAGUUGAAGGCCUGAAUAGAAUAAAAGACCCAGUUCACCCCGGCAAGAAGCAAUUCUGUAGCCAACCGAACUUUGGAUUUGAACUGCAGCAUCUGUCCUUCCUGGGUCUCCAGCUUGUUGGCCCACCUUGCAGAGUCUGGAUUUGCCACCUUCUAAAAUCACAUGAGCCAAUUGCCUAAAGUAAAUCUCUCUCUCUCUCCCUGUCUCCACUGUGGAGUCCCCAUUGUGGAGAGUCAUACACCUUACUACAGGCAGGAAAUCAAGGUGGUUAGCAGGAAAAUGAGACCCAGGUGCCCAAAACACUGAGCAGAAGGGAGCAAGGCCUAUAACUCCAAAGUUUAGAAUGAAGAGGUUAGAGAAGGAAGGCAGGAGAUGGGACAGAAUGCACAGAACAGCAUAUGGGACCUUGACUUUGAACGAUGGGUAGAAUUUUGAUCAGGGAUAAGGGAAAUAUGAUGAACACCUGCCAAUAGUAGAUGUGCACAAUCUUUGAAUACCCUUUCUUCAUUUGACAUUAUCCACGUUGAGAGUCUCAGGUUCUCAAUGUAGAAUCCAACAAACUACAUUUCCUGGCCUCUCUUGCUACUAGGCAAAUAGUUAACUGUUUCCCCAAUCAGACAUACCCGUGUCCAACUUUGGUUUGAAAGUUAUCUGUGAGAGGAAACAGCAAUGCUUGCUUGGCCUACCUCUUUUGGUGGGUGAGGCAGCAGCAGAGGUGGGACGUUCCUGUGGCUGGUAGCGGCCACAACGCAGUUUCCUGACAGGCAGAGCAGAGGCCGUGCAGGUCUGGGAUCUGUGGCACUGGAGAUUCCUUAUGAGGCCAGUUCUGUGGUGUGGUUCUGGGAGUUAUUCCAAGCUCUGGGGCCCCAGUUUUCUCAUCUGUGAAAUGGAGACUGUGCUGCCUCCCUCCCACUGAGCUAGCAAAUGUGAUGGAGGCUGGAAGGCAAUCAUGUGUGAGACAAAAACAGCAACACCUGCUGCCGCUCAAAGGCAAGUCCGAAGAAAGAAAAUUGGAAUCAGAAAAGGGAAGAGUUUUCGAGAAAAACCUUUGGGAGGAAGCCUCUAGAAGGCCCAUAUUUCUUAUCCUAAAGCUCUACCCAAUUGGGGACAGGUGGGCAAAGGUUGGGGUACAAGGAUAGAAGUUUCUUGGUGGUGAGUGGUCAAGGUGAGAAUGUCCUUACUGCUUUCCUACCAACUCCUCACUGGCCUCUGCCCCUGGAAGAUGCAGAGCAGAGAGAAGUCACAGUCAGUUACCUUGGGCAUUUCUGCCUUGAAUAAGGAGAAAUAGUCUUUGGUGCCAAUUAAUUAAGCAAACUGAUAGAAAUUCCCUGCUUAAGUCACACUUUUCAUAUCCACAAUCUCUGCACUACAUUUUCUGUAUACUUUACCCCUGGGUAAAAAUUGGUGAGCAUUUAAAUGCUUCCUCACAUAAUCUUGCUAAAGCACACUCUUGCCUAUAAAUAUUCAUGCCACUGCCAAAACAUUUGCAAGCUUUCCCCAAAGGUGAAAUGUGUGUAAUGUACUUUGUCUUCUGGGUAUAAAUAUUAUCCAAUACAUUUUGGUUAAUAUGAAUACACUAAUUAUUCCUGCAACCUUUUUAAAAAGGGUCAUCUUCAUGAUGUGAAUUUUUUAAAAAUGUAAUUACAAUAAUUGGAUACUUAAUCUAAUUAAAAUUUGCUUUAUCUUUAAUGAGAAUUUGUCUAAAGAGGCAGAAUGACAAUUGGCUUUUUGAUAAUGACGGUUUUCUUUCUUCAGGGGAUCAAGUUGGUGAAAACUGGAGAACCAGGCAGGUUUGUGUCUGCCAGUUCCCUGGUUACUGGGCAGAGCAAGGCCACUCUCUCUUCUUCUUAUAAUUCACUACUUAAGUAGCAAAUAUGGGUUGUGGUUACCGGAAAAGGACUAGGGGAACCUUUUGUAUUCCAACAGAUGAAGCUGCUCCUCUUCCUAGGAAGCAGUCCUUUGUUCCCCUGGACCUGUGAUUGAUCCACAGCAGGCAUGUGAUCUAAGCCUGAUAGAUCAGGUCCCUCGCUGGGCUUGCUGCAGCUGGAGAAGAAGUAGCUCCAUGCUGCUUUGGGGGGGCAUGGUGCUGGAAGGAGUUGUAGUGGAUGGUAUAUGAGGUGCUCCACUCAUAUCCCAUUUGUUCACCCUUGAGGUCAUCUUCAGACAGUCCCUGCACACAAACUGAGCUCCUAUGCCUCUCUGUAUAAAGCUGCUUCUCUGGCCUGGGGAGCAAGCUAGGGAGAGUUACCACUCCCAGAGCAACUCUUAAACAAUGAAGGAGGGGAGGUGGCAGACAAGCACCUCAGCUUCCUUGUUCUUCAGGGGCUCAAUUCUGAGUGGUGCUCCACACAUUCUUUUUGAGGCAUCCCAGUAGGAUUGAGAUCUACUUGCUCCAGCUGUAACCCACUCACCGACACACCCGUUUGGAGUUUCCGCCCCUUCUUUGUCUCACUUACCUGCCCUCUCAUUUUGCUUCUGGUGUCAUCUUCCAAAUAAAGUGGUACACCC